UACCAUUUGCAUUAAAUGUCGACGAAAAUAUGCUAAAAUCCCUUUCGACUCUAUAUUCAGAACGACGUUGUCUUAGCACACCUUGGAUGUAAGAAGACACGGAUUCAGAUAUGAGUACGGGACUUUGAUUCGGAAAACAUCCCAACAGCAAUAAAAUGGCAUUUUGAGAUUCUACGUCUGGAUAUCUUCCAACAUACAUGCGGCCAAAAGAUUUGGAUAUAUCACUUAAAGAUCCCGCAAU